rnacentral:rRNA from 1 species
AUUGAACGCUGGCGGCAGGCUUAACACAUGCAAGUCGAGCGAGUGGCGGACGGGUGAGUAAUGUCUGGGAAACUGCCUGAUGGAGGGGGAUAACUACUGGAAACGGUAGCUAAUACCGCAUACCAUCGGAUGUGCCCAGAUGGGAUUAGCUAGUAGGUGGGGUAAAGGCUCACCUAGGCGACGAUCCCUAGCUGGUCUGAGAGGAUGACCAGCCACACUGGAACUGGUACACGGUCCAGACUCCUACGUUAGGCAGCAGUGGGGAAUUUUGCACAAUGGGCACAAGCCUGAUGCAGCCAUGCCGCGUGUAUGAAGAGGGCCUUCGGGUUGUAAAGUACUUUCAGCGGGGGGGCGUUACCCGCAGAAGAAGCACCGGCUAACUCCGUGCCAGCCGCCGCGGUAAUAC